rnacentral:rRNA from 1 species
AGUUUGAUCCUGGCUCAGGAUGAACGCUGGCGGCGUGCCUAAUACAUGCAAGUCGAACGAAUCUCUUUUAGAGAUGAGUGGCGAACGGGUGAGUAAUACAUAGGUAACCUGCCCCUGUGCGGGGGAUAACAGGAGGAAACUCCUGCUAAUACCGCAUAGCCAUGAGCACCGCAUGGAGCUCAUGCCAAAUAUCCUUUCGGGGAUAGCGCAGGGAUGGACCUAUGGCGCAUUAGCUGGUUGGCGGGGCAACGGCCCACCAAGGCAACGAUGCGUAGCCGGCCUGAGAGGGCGGACGGCCACAUUGGGACUGAGACACGGCCCAGACUCCUACGGGAGGCAGCAGUAGGGAAUUUUCGGCAAUGGGGGAAACCCUGACCGAGCAACGCCGCGUGAGCGAAGAAGGCCUUCGGGUCGUAAAGCUCUGUUGUAAAGGAAGAACGGCGCAUACAGGAAAUGGUAUGCGAGUGACGGUACUUUACCAGAAAGCCACGGCUAACUACGUGCCAGCAGCCGCGGUAAUACGUAGGUGGCGAGCGUUAUCCGGAAUCAUUGGGCGUAAAGAGGGAGCAGGCGGCCGCAAGGGUCUGUGGUGAAAGACCGAAGCUAAACUUCGGUAAGCCAUGGAAACCGGGCGGCUAGAGUGCGGAAGAGGAUCGUGGAAUUCCAUGUGUAGCGGUGAAAUGCGUAGAUAUAUGGAGGAACACCAGUGGCGAAGGCGACGGUCUGGGCCGCAACUGACGCUCAUUCCCGAAAGCGUGGGGAGCAAAUAGGAUUAGAUACCCUAGUAGUCCACGCCGUAAACGAUGGUCACUAAGUGUCGGGGGUCAAACCCCGGUGCUGCAGUCAACGCAAUAAGUGACCCGCCUGAGUAGUACGUUCGCAAGAAUGAAACUCAAAGGAAUU